CAUGGUGACACAAAGUUCUUGAUCUUGGCAAGCGAUGGACUCUGGAAGGUAAUGUUGAACGAAGAGGCGUGGGACGAGAUCAAAGAGGUUAGGAACGCAGAGAAAGCUGCAAAGGCUUUAGUGGAUGAAGCAUUGGCUAGAGGAAGUAAAGAUGAUAUCUCUUGUGUUGUUGUUUCCUUCAACUAGUUUAAAACCCAUAGGUCUAUAAGUCUCUUCUGAGUUUAAGCAUAUGUUUUCUUUCAAGAACAAGCACUGUUUCCAUAUAUUAAAAAAAGGGUUUUGAGUCGA